GACGUAGGGCGCGAGCGUUGUCCGGAUUUAUUGGGCGUAAAGAGCUCGUAGGCGGUCUGUCACGUCGGCUGUGAAAACCUGGGGCUCAACUCCGGGCCUGCAGCCGAUACGGGCAGACUAGAGUUCGGCAGGGGAGACUGGAAUUCCUGGUGUAGCGGUGAAAUGCGCAGAUAUCAGGAGGAACACCGGUGGCGAAGGCGACUCACUGGCCCGAUACUGACGCUGAGGCGCGAAAAGCGUGGGGGAGCAAACAGG
rnacentral:rRNA from 1 species